GUCUUUGCGUCUGGCUACUGCCAGACCGCGGGUUAGGGGCUUCAUCUCUCUGCGUUCUCAGUUCUGGGAGGCCUUGGUGAUUCGGCCACAGCCUCAGCCUCCGUCGCUCUGUGACCUGCGGGUAUUGGAUGAUUGGUAGCUAAGACUCCCGAAUACUCCAGAAGUGGGGAAAUGCUGUGUGUUCUCAUUUCACCCAAGACCAUUGGCCAGUGCAGGGCAUAGAAGAUUCAUUCCACAAACUUAUACUGAGAAGAUAUGAGAAAUGUGGACAUGAUAAUUUACAAUUAAGAAAAGGCUGUAAAAGUUUGAAUGAGUGUAAGUUGCAGAAAGGAGGUUAUAAUGAAUUUAAUGAAUGCUUGUCAACUACCCAGAGCAAAAUAUUUCAGUGUAAAGCAAGUGUCAAAGUUGUUAGUAAAUUUUCAAAUUCAAACAAACGUAAGACAAGACAUACUGGAGAGAAACACUUUAAAGAAUGUGGCAAAUCAUUUCAGAAGUUUUCACACCUAACUCAACAUAAGGUAAUUCAUUCUGGAGAGA
rnacentral:sRNA from 1 species